AUGAACGCUAGCUACAGGCUUAACACAUGCAAGUCGAGGGGCAGCAUUUUAGUUUGCUUGCAAACUAAAGAUGGCGACCGGCGCACGGGUGAGUAACACGUAUCCAACCUGCCGAUAACUCGGGGAUAGCCUUUCGAAAGAAAGAUUAAUAUCCGAUAGUAUAUUAAAACCGCAUGGUUUUACUAUUAAAGAAUUUCGGUUAUCGAUGGGGAUGCGUUCCAUUAGUUUGUUGGCGGGGUAACGGCCCACCAAGACUACGAUGGAUAGGGGUUCUGAGAGGAAGGUCCCCCACAUUGGAACUGAGACACGGUCCAAACUCCUACGGGAGGCAGCAGUGAGGAAUAUUGGUCAAUGGACGAGAGUCUGAACCAGCCAAGUAGCGUGAAGGAUGACUGCCCUAUGGGUUGUAAACUUCUUUUAUAUGGGAAUAAAGUAUUCCACGUGUGGGAUUUUGUAUGUACCAUAUGAAUAAGGAUCGGCUAACUCCGUGCCAGCAGCCGCGGUAAUACGGAGGAUCCGAGCGUUAUCCGGAUUUAUUGGGUUUAAAGGGAGCGUAGGUGGAUUGUUAAGUCAGUUGUGAAAGUUUGCGGCUCAACCGUAAAAUUGCAGUUGAAACUGGCAGUCUUGAGUACAGUAGAGGUGGGCGGAAUUCGUGGUGUAGCGGUGAAAUGCUUAGAUAUCACGAAGAACUCCGAUUGCGAAGGCAGCUCACUAGACUGCAACUGACACUGAUGCUCGAAAGUGUGGGUAUCAAACAGGAUUAGAUACCCUGGUAGUCCACACAGUAAACGAUGAAUACUCGCUGUUUGCGAUAUACAGUAAGCGGCCAAGCGAAAGCAUUAAGUAUUCCACCUGGGGAGUACGCCGGCAACGGUGAAACUCAAAGGAAUUGACGGGGGCCCGCACAAGCGGAGGAACAUGUGGUUUAAUUCGAUGAUACGCGAGGAACCUUACCCGGGCUUAAAUUGCAUUUGAAUAAUCUGGAAACAGGUUAGCCGCAAGGCAAAUGUGAAGGUGCUGCAUGGUUGUCGUCAGCUCGUGCCGUGAGGUGUCGGCUUAAGUGCCAUAACGAGCGCAACCCUUAUCUUUAGUUACUAACAGGUCAUGCUGAGGACUCUAGAGAGACUGCCGUCGUAAGAUGUGAGGAAGGUGGGGAUGACGUCAAAUCAGCACGGCCCUUACGUCCGGGGCUACACACGUGUUACAAUGGGGGGUACAGAAGGCAGCUACCUGGCGACAGGAUGCUAAUCCCAAAAACCUCUCUCAGUUCGGAUCGAAGUCUGCAACCCGACUUCGUGAAGCUGGAUUCGCUAGUAAUCGCGCAUCAGCCAUGGCGCGGUGAAUACGUUCCCGGGCCUUGUACACACCGCCCGUCAAGCCAUGAAAGCCGGGGGUACCUGAAGUACGUAACCGCAAGGAGCGUCCUAGGGUAAAACUGGU
rnacentral:rRNA from 1 species